AACAGGAAAAGCAGUGUGGUUUGUGGUUUGGUUUUGGGCCCUAUACAUUGGGAACCAGGAAGGUUCGGGAAACCUGAGGAAGAGUCUUCGUUCAACCAUUACCAAACAAUAAAAUAAACAAAAGGGUAUUGUUAAAAUUGAAGAGAAGAAGAAGACUCUGGUUCCUUCCUUCUUCUGUGUCUCUGAGAUCUUUCAACAACAACAAGAACAAAGAAGAAGAAGAUGGCUUCAGAGGAGGCUGAGAGAAAGCAAGAAGAGCAACAAGGAGCAUCAUACACGUAUUGGGUAAGGCAAGUUAAGGAGGGAGAUGCAGCUCCAUUACCUGUACCUCGCAAGUUAACUCCUGAUGACAUUAUCAAUGACUCCAACUCUCAGCCUCCCACCCUUGGCUCUCUUUGGAAUAAGGCUGGAACUUGGGAGGAGAAGAAUCUUCAUAAGUGGGCAUCUGAUAGAAUCAAGGAGUUACUUAUAUCUGUGGGGUCCUUGGAGUUCCCUGCUGGCAAGGCUGAAAUAUCAGAUGUAUCAAAAUGUGUAGGCGAUGCAUUCUUGGUGACUGUGCGAAACAAGAAACGUGUUGGCUACACAUAUGAGUUAACAUUGAAAGUGAAAGGGGAGUGGACAAUUAGAGAGGAGAAGAAGACAGUCAAGGGCCAUAUAGACAUAGCAGAGUUCUCGUUUGGUGAGCUGGAUGACUUACAGGUAUGUUUUUCUUAUCCAUUUGAAUGCUAAAGAGAGCCAUGUGUUGUAAGGACAAUACUAAUGGAAGUUGAACCUAAAUUCAAUUGGAUGAUGUUAUAUAAUGCUGUCUCUUGCUGUUCAAGUAUCAAAUACUGGGCUGAUUAGGCAGAUUUAAAGUGAAGUGCCUGUGGAUGCACAAAAGGGGAAAUGAACGUAAGACCAGUGGAUUGGAUAUUCAAGUCUACCACAUCAUAUGGAAGUGAGAUUGAGUGAAGAGAAGGAUCUUCUGCAUCAAGACAAGUUACGGAUUAGCCAGGAUUUGAAACUAUUUUUGCAGCCUGUUCGUGAAAAAAUGCUUCAGUUCGAACAGGAACUCAAAGAUAGAUAGAAAGGGCAGCGUCGUUUUUAUCUAUGACGAAAGCCAUGGUUUUUAUUACAGUUAUCAACUGUAACUGUAUUUUUUAAUCUCUGAUGGAACAACUAUUUUAUAAAUACGUGUAAUGGAGCAUAAGACUUCUAAAGCUGUGAAGCUUCCAAGCUUUUUCAGUAAUGAUUUUAUUUUAUGCUCAGGAAGUAAUGUUUUUAAUAAAAAGUUUACAUUAGUACUGCUAA